CCUACGGGAGGCAGCAGUGGGGAAUAUUGCACAAUGGGGGAAACCCUGAUGCAGCGAAGCCGCGUGAGCGAGGAAGUAUUUGGGUAUGUAAAGCUCUAUCAGCAGGGACGAAAAAAGACGGUACCGGACUCCGAAGCCCCGGCCAACUCCGUGCCAGCAGCCGCGGUAAUACGUAGGGGGCAAGCGGUAUCCGGAUUUACUGGGUGUAAAGGGAGCGUAGACGGCAAGGCAAGCCAGAAGUGAAAGGGCAGGGCUCAACCCUGUACCUGCUUUUGGAACUGGGGUGCUAGAGUGCAGGAGAGGUAAGUGGAAUGCCCAGUGUAGCGGUGAAAUGCGUAGAUAUUAGGAGGAACACCAGUGGCGAAGGCGGCUUACUGGACUGUAACUGACGUUGAGGCUCGAAAGCGUGGGGAGCAAACAGGAUUAGAUACCCGGGUAGUC
rnacentral:rRNA from 1 species